GAUGAACGCUGGCGGCGUGCCUAAUACAUGCAAGUCGAGCGAACAGACGAGGAGCUUGCUCCUCUGACGUUAGCGGCGGACGGGUGAGUAACACGUGGAUAACCUACCUAUAAGACUGGGAUAACUUCGGGAAACCGGAGCUAAUACCGGAUAAUAUAUUGAACCGCAUGGUUCAAUAGUGAAAGACGGUUUUGCUGUCACUUAUAGAUGGAUCCGCGCCGCAUUAGCUAGUUGGUAAGGUAACGGCUUACCAAGGCAACGAUGCGUAGCCGACCUGAGAGGGUGGUCGGCCACACUGGAACUGAGACACGGUCCAGACUCCUACGGGAGGCAGCAGUAGGGAAUCGUCCGCAAUGGGCGAGAACUUGACGGAGCAACGCCGCGUGAGUGAUGAAGAUCUUCGGAUCGUAAAACUCUGUUAUUAGGGAAGAACAAAUGUGUAAGUAACUAUGCACGUCUUGACGGUACCUAAUCAGAAAGCCACGGCUAACUACGUG
rnacentral:rRNA from 1 species